rnacentral:rRNA from 1 species
AUUGAACGCUGGCGGCAGGCUUUACACAUGCAAGUCGGACGAGUGGCGAACGGGUGAGUAAUAUAUCGGAACGUACCGAGUAAUGGGGGAUAACUACUCGAAAGAUUAGCUAAUACCGCAUAUUAUUCGAUCGGCCGAUAUCUGAUUAGCUAGUUGGUGGGGUAAAGGCCUACCAAGGCGACGAUCAGUAGCGGGUCUGAGAGGAUGAUCAGCCACACUGGGACUGAGACACGGCCCAGACUCCGACGGGAGGCAGCAGUGGGGAAUUUUGGACAAGUGUCGCAAGCCUGAUCCAGCCAUGCCGCGUGUCUGAAGAAGGCCUUCGGGUUGUAAAGUACGUUUGUCAGGGAAGCGGUACCUGAAGAAGAAGCACCGGCUAACUACGUGCCAGCAGCCGCGGUAAUAC